AGAAUUCCUCUCUGAAGACGUGCAGUAUUGAAGGGACUCCUUCAUAAGAUGGAUUGGAGCAAAGAUGGCAAUGGAACAUUGAGACCUUGGACAAGAAUGAAGCCUCCAUUGU